rnacentral:tRNA from 1 species
GCCGGUUUAGCUCAGGGGUAGAGCAGCGGUUUUGUAAACCGAAGGUCGCGGGUUCAAAUCCUGCAACCGGCACCA